rnacentral:lncRNA from 1 species
CGAAUGGGUUAAUUUGAGUUAUGUUUGUCGACGUAUGAAUACUAAGAGGGAACUUUAUAUUUGCUUCUUGAUAAUAGGUCACAAUUAUGUUAAGUGUUUUGCGACUUGUGAAGUAUGUGACCCAGUGUACUUGUAUGUCGAUCGCUCUGCAGGUUGUAAUUUUGUUACAUUACUGUAGUUUGGUUAGCAAUUGUAGCUCUAGCCUAGAUAAAUAAAAAUGCCUACUUGUAUGUUGAGUGCUCUAGCCCAG